GGAGGUGUAGGGGUCCCGGUGGGCCUCGCCGUCUUCAAAACGGUUGGGGGGUCGCUGCGCGCGGUCCCUGGUGGGUUCGACUCCCAUACACCUCUG
rnacentral:tRNA from 2 species